rnacentral:rRNA from 1 species
AGUGGACGCUGGCGGUAGGCCUAACACAUGCAAGUCGAACGGCAGCACAGUAAGAGCUUGCUCUUACGGGUGGCGAGUGGCGGACGGGUGAGGAAUACAUCGGAAUCUACUUUUUCGUGGGGGAUAACGUAGGGAAACUUACGCUAAUACCGCAUACGACCUACGGGUGAAAGCAGGGGAUCUUCGGACCUUGCGCGAUUGAAUGAGCCGAUGUCGGAUUAGCUAGAUGGCGGGGUAAAGGCCCACCAAGGCGACGAUCCGUAGCUGGUCUGAGAGGAUGAUCAGCCACACUGGAACUGAGACACGGUCCAGACUCCUACGGGAGGCAGCAGUGGGGAAUAUUGGACAAUGGGCGCAAGCCUGAUCCAGCCAUACCGCGUGGGUGAAGAAGGCCUUCGGGUUGUAAAGCCCUUUUGUUGGGAAAGAAAAGCAGCAGGUUAAUACCCCGCUGUUCUGACGGUACCCAAAGAAUAAGCACCGGCUAACUUCGUG